AUUGAACGCUGGCGGCAUGCCUUACACAUGCAAGUCGAACGGUAACAGGUCUUCGGAUGCUGACGAGUGGCGAACGGGUGAGUAAUACAUCGGAACGUGCCCGAUCGUGGGGGAUAACGGAGCGAAAGCUUUGCUAAUACCGCAUACGAUCUACGGAUGAAAGCAGGGGACCGCAAGGCCUUGCGCGGACGGAGCGGCCGAUGGCAGAUUAGGUAGUUGGUGGGAUAAAAGCUUACCAAGCCGACGAUCUGUAGCUGGUCUGAGAGGACGACCAGCCACACUGGGACUGAGACACGGCCCAGACUCCUACGGGAGGCAGCAGUGGGGAAUUUUGGACAAUGGGCGCAAGCCUGAUCCAGCCAUGCCGCGUGCAGGAUGAAGGCCCUCGGGUUGUAAACUGCUUUUGUACAGAACGAAAAGCUCUGGCUAAUACCUGGAGUCCAUGACGGUACUGUAAGAAUAAGCACCGGCUAACUACGUGCCACG
rnacentral:rRNA from 1 species